CUUGCGUCCCAUUAGCUAGUUGGUGAGGUAAAGGCCCACCAAGGCGACGAUGGGUUUCCGGCCUGAGAGGGUGAUCGGACACAUUGGGACUGAGAUACGGCCCAAACUCCUACGGGAGGCAGCAGCUAAGAAUAUUCCGCAAUGGACGGAAGUCUGACGGAGCGACGCCGCGUGGAUGAAGAAGGCUGAAAAGUUGUAAAAUCCUUUUGUUGAUGAAGAAUAAGGGUGAGAGGGAAUGCUCAUCUGAUGACGGUAAUCGACGAAUAAGCCCCGGCUAAUUACGUGCCAGCAGCCGCGGUAACACGUAAGGGGCGAGCGUUGUUCGGAAUUAUUGGGCGUAAAGGGCAUGUAGGCGGUUAUGUAAGCCUGAUGUGAAAUCCUGGGGCUUAACCCUAGAAUAGCAUUGGGUACUGUGUAACUUGAAUUACGGAAGGGAAACUGGAAUUCCAAGUGUAGGGGUGGAAUCUGUAGAUAUUUGGAAGAACACCGGUGGCGAAGGCGGGUUUCUGGCCGAUAAUUGACGCUGAGAUGCGAAAGUGUGGGGAUCGAACAGGAUUAGAUACCCUGGUAGUCCACACUGUAAACGAUGUACACUAGGUGUUGGGGCAAGAGCUUCAGUGCCAAAGCAAACGCGAUAAGUGUACCGCCUGGGGAGUAUGCCUGCAAGGGUGAAACUCAAAGGAAUUGACGGGGGCCCGCACAAGCGGUGGAGCAUGUGGUUUAAUUCGAUGGUACGCGAGGAACCUUACCUGGGUUUGACAUCUAGUAGAAGGUCUUAGAGAUAAGGCCGGGUAGCAAUACCCUGCUAGACAGGUGCUGCAUGGCUGUCGUCAGCUCGUGCCGUGAGGUGUUGGGUUAAGUCCCGCAACGAGCGCAACCCCUACUGCCAGUUACUAACAGGUAAAGCUUGAGGACUCUGGCGGAACUGCCGAUGACAAAUCGGAGGAAGGUGGGGAUGACGUCAAGUCAUCAUGGCCCUU
rnacentral:rRNA from 1 species